rnacentral:lncRNA from 1 species
UGUUGUUUGGAUAGGGAAAGUUCAUUUAUGAACUCUCUAUUCGGUUCCAACCAGAAAGUGUAUCUAGUGUACUGACACUAUGACACUAAUGGGGCGAUAGCUCAAGCCAGGGAAUCAAGGUCUCAUCAAGGUCCGAACUCAUAUGAGAGACUGAACCACAUGAUUAAGAAUCAUGUAUAAUGGUGACGUCGUUAUUCUCAAGGUU